UCCUGCUACCUUCCUGGGCUGAUACCAAGCCAGAGUUGAGCAGAUACCUUCUUUUCCUCAUAUCCAUCCAUGCUAUAUACCUUUGGUUCAUAUUUUUAUUUUUCUCUGCAGACAGAACUCCACGAAAGGCUUUUGCCACAGGGAGAAACAGGUCUACCACCUCUUUGACCUUGGAGAGCAAUGUCAACCACCCACAGAACCUCACCUUGUUACUCUAUAAUGCCAGGUCGGUUCAAAAUAAAUCUGAGGUAAUACAUGACUUAAUCAUGGAUGAAGGAGCUAACUUGACAGCCCCAUGGUAUCCGGAUGAACUAUGGGAUCUAAAGUGGCGAGAUAGAUGACUAGAGUGCAAGAGGAGGAAGACUCAGUGCAAGUCGGAUCAAGCACAACACAAAGCACAUUUGAAGACUUAGGCUGUAGCAGUGUGGGAGGCAAAAAAGCAGUUCUUUUCUGCCUGCAUUGCUAUUGCAAUUUCAUGUCCAGCUGAGUUAUCUAGGGAUGUGAGGGGGCUAGUGUGUACCACCUUCCCCUUGAAUUUAAACUUGGAACCAUCAGUUUCUCACUGUGACAUUGUUAACGACUUUUUGUGUGGAUAAAAUAUCUCA